rnacentral:rRNA from 5 species
CCAGCGAUUAGGUCGGGAACUCAAAGGAGACUGCCAGUGAUAAACUGGAGGAAGGUGGGGAUGACGUCAAGUCAUCAUGGCCCUUACGACCAGGGCUACACACGUGCUACAAUGGCGCAUACAAAGAGAAGCGACCUCGCGAGAGCAAGCGGACCUCAUAAAGUGCGUCGUAGUCCGGAUUGGAGUCUGCAACUCGACUCCAUGAAGUCGGAAUCGCUAGUAAUCGUGGAUCAGAAUGCCACGGUGAAUACGUUCCCGGGCCUUGUACACACCGCCCGUCACACCAUGGGAGUGGGUUGCAAAAGAAGUAGGUAGCUUAACCUUCGGGAGGGCGCUUACCACUUUGUGAUUCAUGACUGGGGUGAAGUCGUAACAAGGUAACCGUAGGGGAACCUGC